rnacentral:misc_RNA from 1 species
GCUUGCAUCCGCCAGUAGAUUCUCACAAAUCAAGAGCUGCCGCUGGUCUCAACUUCUAUAUUUUUUUUUCUCAAUUUCUCUAUUAUUUCUGUAUUCCUAUAUCAAUUUCUUCUAUUUUCUAAUUAAAAUUGAAGCUCUCACCAAACAGAACAUAAUAGAGAGAAACCAUCCUUUAUUCUUAGUUCAAUUUCUUUCUGUCAGGGAGAAAAAAAAAA